rnacentral:rRNA from 1 species
UACGUAGGGUGCAAGCGUUAAUCGGAAUUACUGGGCGUAAAGCGUGCGCAGGCGGUUUUGUAAGUCUGACGUGAAAUCCCCGGGCUCAACCUGGGAAUUGCGUUGGAGACUGCAAGGCUGGAGUCUGGCAGAGGGGGGUAGAAUUCCACGUGUAGCAGUGAAAUGCGUAGAGAUGUGGAGGAACACCGAUGGCGAGGGCAGCCCCCUGGGUCAAGACUGACGCUCAUGCACGAAGGCCAGGGGAGCAAACGGG